rnacentral:rRNA from 1 species
AUGGCGGAUGAUACCAAGUUCCUCCUUUUGUUUUUCCUCUUGAGCAGCUCAUUGUUGUGUUUUGGUUCUGAACAUGAUAUCCAGUGCCUAAAGUCUGUACAACAAUCGGUGAUUGAUACCGACGGUGUACUCAAAUCCACAUGGAACUUUGAACAUGAAACCGACGGUUUCAUAUGCCAAUUUGCUGGUGUGGAGUGCUGGCACCCCGACGAGAACAGGGUUCUCUCUCUGCGACUCGACAACCUAGGACUUGAAGGCCCAUUUCCUCAGGGUCUUCAAUAUUGUUCAAGCAUGACGGGCCUGAACCUGUCAAAUAACAAAUUUUCAGGACCGAUGCCUACCGACAUUUCACGGCAGCUGCAGCAGCUGACAUCUCUGGAUCUUUCGCACAAUAGCUUUUCGGGAUCAAUUCCGCCGAGUAUCACAAAUAUGAUAUAUCUGAAUCUCCUCAACCUUCAGCAUAACCAACUCAGCAGUCAAAUUCCGUCACAAUUGGAUUUGCUUACUCGGUUAACUACGUUCAAUGUCGCGGAGAACUUGUUAUCAGGGCCUGUUCCUCGUUCGCUAGCAGUGUUUCCGGCUUCGAACUUUGAUGGUAACCAAGGGCUUUGUGAUUCACCGUUGGGUGAAUGCUCCAGGAAGAGAUGGAUGCCAAUACGAAUCAAUGACAUGUCGAGCAUCAGAGCGGCUGUCGGAUUCGUCCUGGGGUUCGUGGUGGCCUUCUACUUCCCUCACUGCUUUGUCUGCUCCGAGAGGCUCCGUGCCUACGUUGUCCGGAUAAUAUGA